CUCCAUUACGAACAAUACCAUUCAAUCUGCCACUCUGUUUGCCUUCCAACCACAAACAAGUUCAUUCACUUAUCAUUAAAUAAAUAAAUAAAUAUCUUAUUUUUUGGAUCACCAAAUUACAUUUGGAAGGAAUUUAAUAGAAUAAUAAAUUUUAGAUCAUAAAGAAUAUAUUUUCCAAUAAGCAUGAACAACCAACAAUAUCUCGAGAUACAAAAAUAAUCGUUCUCAAUCCCAUCG
rnacentral:lncRNA from 1 species